rnacentral:lncRNA from 1 species
AAAAAAGUAGUAGUAUAGUAGUAGUAGUACCACCCCUUUUAUAUUUUACUCGCACAAUUUUUCAGUUUAUUUUCAACAGUAUAUUAUCUAUGUAUUGUAUAAGGCAUAGUCUCUGGUGAAACAUACAUUGGUAUUUCAUAUACAUGUACCAAGUCCUUCAACUUGAUGUUACUCUGUCAUCUGUCUGAGUUGGAUUAAACAUAUGACACUGUUGA